rnacentral:tRNA from 1 species
UCCCAAGUGGCUCAAUGGUAAAGAUUCUGCCUUCAGUGCAGAAGAUGCAGGUCUGAUCCCUGUGUUGGGAA